rnacentral:rRNA from 1 species
UACGUAGGGGGCAAGCGUUGUCCGGAUUUACUGGGCGUAAAGAGCGUGCAGGCGGUCGUUCAAGUCGGAUGUGAAAGCCCCCGGCUCAACUGGGGAGGGUCACGCGAUACUGAUCGACUCGAAGGCAGGAGAGGGAAGUGGAAUUCCCGGUGUAGUGGUGAAAUGCGUAGAUAUCGGGAGGAACACCAGUGGCGAAGGCGACUUCCUGGCCUGUUCUUGACGCUGAGGCGCGAAAGCUAGGGGAGCAAACGGG